GUGGAUAGUAAGCAAUUAGACUUAAGCCUAAGGAGCAAUUUUGCUUAUGCAAUAUAAUUAGAAGCCAUCUCUGUUUUUCAUUUGUUUUUUGUUUUUGAGACAGAGUCUCACUCUGUCGCCUAGGUUGGAGUGCAGUGGCACAAUCUCGGCUCACUGCAACUUCUGCUUCCCUGCUUCAAGCAAUUCUCCUGCCUCAGCCUCCUGAUGUGGCUGGGAUUAUAGGUGCCCACCACAACACUCAGCUAAUUUUUAUACUUUUAAUAGAGACAGGGUUUCACUACGUUGGCCACGCUGGUCUCAAACUCCUGACCUCAAGUGAUCUGCCCUCCUCGGUCUCCCAAAGUGCUGGGAUUACAAGUGUGAGGCACCGUGCCCAACCUAGAAGCCAACUCUGAAAGGUGUUUUAAUUAGAGGUAUAGUUUAGUUUAAUUCAACAUAUAUUUAUUGAGCACCAGGUAUUUAAUACAUAAAGACAAAUGAGGCGAAGUGUCCUUAAGCAUGCAUGGUAUAUGAAAUCUGGAUGAUAAACAUGUAGAUAAUUGCAGAUAAUUGUGAUAUAUACUCUAGGUGCACACAAAGGCUGUGAAGAUGCAAGAACGAAGCGUAAGCAGCUGUGCUUGGUCAGAGGAAGGGUUCCGGGAAAGCCACACGGAAGAGAUAGCAUUGGACUGCAACCAGGACUAAAAAGAUGAUGUUGCCUUGGCAGACAACUGGAAAAACAUCAUAAGCAGAGAGAACAAUGUCUAAAAUAUCAACCAAGGUAUUUUGCAACCAGUUACGACUCUGAUUCUGAUUUUCAUGCUUCCUACCUCUUUCACCUUGGAGUACUGCACUCCCCUCAAUCCUCACCCAAGCUGUUGGGUUGACACAGGAGGAAACUGAAGCCCAGAGGACAUAAUUUAUCUCCCUCCUUGAUACUGGCAUAUGAAGAAGCUGAGGCAGAAGCUGAAGGAAUGGCCACAGACGCCAAGGAUGGCCAAGGAGGCCCUUGAUGCUUCUGGUCCUGCUGGGACCACUGAACACACAUGGACCUCUCUGCAACUUGAGCAAGGGAGGGUCAGGCUGGGUGACAAAGGCAUGAGCAGAGCUGCCCAGGGCGUCUCUGUGCAUGUUCAUCCCAGUCUUAGCAGAGCACAAUUUCAAUCCACGUUUCAGAUUCACCCAGAUGCCUUGGAUAAUUUGUUUUGGAAAACAUAUAUUGAAGUUACCAGAGCCACAGUAUGACAGAAGACUGGGUCCCAGAAUCAGAAUUGCAAGGAAAGUCAUGCACUAAUGAAGAAAACAAUUCUUAAGGCUUAUGUGAGCUGAAAACAAACUUGUCAUGUUGCUGCCUUUAUCCAUUUUUAGAAGAUGUUUGUCCCCAGUAGUGCUACUCUAAUAAAAUACAUCAUCAACACAGUAACUUAAACUGGUCUCAUUAUAAAUCUUAGAUCUCCUAUCAUUGCAGUUUAAAUCCAGCCUACUGAUGUGGAAAGGCAUAUAAAUGCCUUCCAGAUUCUGAAAGGCAUAAUUUUCUUCACUUAUUUCAGGUUUUACUAAGGAUUCCAUACCCUUUGCUUCUGUUGAAUUAUUUCGUAGACACUAUUUUGUAAAGUAGAUAGAAGACGUGCCUAGGAUUUAGGGUUUUUAAUGUCUUUCCAUCUUCCCAGGAUGCCUAUCUAGUAAUCAUUUAAAAUACAAGACAAUCCAAUAACAUGACAUGAAGCUUUCCACGAACUCAAAGAACCAAUGAGAAUAGACUUCUCUAAAAUAUUGGUGAACAAAUGAAUACUUGCCAGAGUCAGAACAAUGAAUUUUAAUUGAGUUACUGCACUCACCAGGCAUUCCUGAGCCAAAGCACUUUUCCUUUUUUAAGUAACAAUUUUGUCUUUUAAAACGUGUAUUUCUAGCUUGAC
ensembl:lncRNA